GGAGGUGGAGGCGGAGGCCAAGGCUCAUCCGGCUGCGGAAGAGGCGGCGGAGGAUCUGGUGGCUGCUGCGGUGGCAGCGGUGGUGGUGGCGGUGGGAUGAUGCAAAUCCGUGGAGGAGGAGGCUGCUGUGGAGGAUCUGGCGGUGGAGGAUCUGGCGGCUGCUGUUGCUGCAGUGGUGGUGGCGGCGGCGGCGGCGGACAGUCCGGCGGAAUCAUCAUUAUACCAAGUGGAGGCGGCCAGUCUUCUGGGUGUUGUGGUGGAGGUGGAUAUGGAGGUGGCCAGCAAAAGAUCCCCGUAGUUAUUGGGGGAGGAUCUGGAGGGGUUUGCUGUGGAUCUAGUGGCGGCAGUGGUGGUGGUGGUGCAGUAUGUUGCAGCUCGUCUGGCGGCAGUGGUGGUGGUGGUGCAGUUUGUUGCAGCUCAUCCGGUGGUGGAAGCUCAGGUGGGGUCAAGGUGAUUGGAGGAGGAUCCGGUGGAGGAGGUGGAGGAUCAGGUGGGAAAACCAUUGUCGUAUCUGGCGGAAGCAGUGGUGGUGGUGGUGGUGGUGGAGGAGGAGGAGCUGUCUGCUGCAGCAGCGGCAGUGGCGGAGCUGUCUGCUGCAGCAGCGGUGGAUCUGGUGGUGGAUCCUCGCAGACCAAAUGCCCCAUUGUUGUCCCACCAUGCAUUGGGCAAACGAAGCAGGUCUGCCCAUUGCCAAGCAUCAAGUAAAAUGCAACAUUUGCCAAGCAACCAAAGAUGUAAGCUAACUUUGCCAGUUCGCAUCAGUGUCCUGACAACAUCAUGUUAAGCCCAAAACAAUUCUGCAUGUUGCUUUCUUUGCCUUUUCAUUAUUCAAUGGCAUUUUAUGUUUGCAUGUUCAAUGUGUGGCGCAUUCUUCAAUGUAAUUUAUGAAUGUUUGUGUGUUUGUGGUGGAUGAGAGUUUCCUCAACCACCCAUUGCUGCUGAUUUCCUUGUUUCAAUAUCCCUUAAUGCAAGGGAUUAAAUAAAGCUUACUUAGAAUCAA